rnacentral:rRNA from 1 species
AUUGAACGCUGGCGGCAUGCUUUACACAUGCAAGUCGAACGGUAACAGGCCUUCGGGUGCUGACGAGUGGCGCACGGGUGAGUAAUGCAUCGGAGCGUGCCCAGAGGUGGGGGAUAACGCAGCGAAAGCUGUGCUAAUACCGCAUGUGAUCUGAGGAUGAAAGCGGGGGACCAAGCAGCAAUGUUUGGCCUCGCGCCUCUGGAGCGGCCGAUGUCAGAUUAGGUAGUUGGUGGGGUAAAGGCCUACCAAGCCGACGAUCUGUAGCUGGUCUGAGAGGACGACCAGCCACACUGGGACUGAGACACGGCCCAGACUCCUACGGGAGGCAGCAGUGGGGAAUUUUGGACAAUGGGCGCAAGCCUGAUCCAGCAAUGCCGCGUGCGGGAAGAAGGCCUUCGGGUUGUAAACCGCUUUUGUACGGAACGAAAAGGCUCUGGCUAAUACCUGGGGCUGAUGACGGUACCGUAAGAAUAAGCACCGGCUAACUACGUG